rnacentral:sRNA from 1 species
UCUGAGACUAGGGCCAGAAGCAGCUCUAUCAGAGAUUUCCCUGAGCUUCAGGAAAGCAAGUCCCCAGAGAAUUGGGAUUCAUGUGAGGGUUUAACUGAACAUGCAUCCAGUUAGCCAUUUCAGUGAGAGUCAGGAUUGGAAAUGCAG